rnacentral:misc_RNA from 1 species
GACUUGGGUGUUGCUGCUUUACUGUGGCUCACCUCAAAUGGAUUUGUGCAACUCUUGGUUGGACAUAGUACGGCGUGAUAAGUGUCUUCGCCGGCACCUCACUAGAGGGUGGCUGAUCAGGAGCUCUGUGCUUCAAACCGUCUUCGGACAAUGACUGACAACUUGACCUCAAAUCGAGUAGGACUACCCGCUGAACUUAA